rnacentral:siRNA from 1 species
GCACAACAUAAGGAAAUGUCUUU